UACGUAGGGGGCAAGCGUUGUUCGGAAUUACUGGGCGUAAAGGGCGCGUAGGCGGCAGGCCAAGUCGGGAGUGAAAGCCCGGGGCUCAACCCCGGAAUGUCUUUCGAAACUGGCCAGCUGGAGUGCGGAAGAGGCAACUGGAAUUCCCAGUGUAGCGGUGAAAUGCGUAGAUAUUGGGAAGAACACCUGAGGCGAAGGCGGAUCUCUGGGCCUUGCCUGACGCUGAGGCGCGAAAGCUAGGGGAGCGAACAGG
rnacentral:rRNA from 1 species